AUGCUUUAAAGUGGCUGCAUGACCUCCAGAGAGAAGAUGUACUAUACUAUCAUCCUGUGUCCUGAAACCUUUCUGGCUGUUUGUCAAAUCUCUGCACUUUUCUCUCUGUCUCUAUGGUUGACUGUGUCUGUGGUAUGAGAGUGUGUCUCUCAGGUGUGUGUUUGUUUGUCCUGAACGCACAUGAGUAUCAAAUCAGUCUAUAGUGGGCUACAAUGUAUAUGACUCAUCUUUAUUCUUUAUUUGCGUGUGGGCAUAUUCCAAACAAGCACAUGUUACAUGCUGAGGUCUACUGGUCCUGUUUGGUUUGUGUUGUUAUCUGGUCCAAACCCACAUGCCACACCCACAGGGGUGUGAACCUGUUACAGGGAUUGAGUCGUUUCUGUUUUAGCUACCAAGUUGUUGAUCUGUGACAUGAUGCUGACCGUGACAUACCUUCACUUCUGCUUGUGGAAUCAUUUCAGAAGAUGAGUUAAUAUUAAGGUUUCCAAUCCAUGUAUUAUUUUAAUAAAUACAGUAUAUAGAAAAUAUAUGGUCAUGCUUUACAGCACUUCGGGGUACAAUGGAUCUUUUUAAUGUAGUUUCGAACCAUCGUUCUUAGUAACCACUAAUAUUAACCUGAAUGCUGGUGAUAAUGCCAAAUACUGCACACACUAUCAAUGGGACCGUUAGGAACCAAAUGUAACCAAAUUGUAAAUUUGCAAAUUGGUUUAGGCCUAUCAAGGAAAUGUGUUUUUAUUUGUUGCCAAAGACAGAUGUCUGUCAAUAUCAACUGUUGAAACAUUUUAUCUAUAUCCACUGUUUGUGUACCAUCAGUUUUGUUUCUGUAUAUACACAGAAAGAGAACCAUUAUCUACCAUCCCUAUCAGAAAUGUAUGGCCAAACGUAUCAACCUACAAGGGGAUAUUUAUGCUGUAAAGGUUUACAGUUGCUAAAAUCUUUUGAUUCGGAGUGUCAAACCUGUAUACAGUCAGCAACUGUCUCAGUGGUCGAAAGCUGUCAACAGGAAUGUUGGCUUUUAUAAUAUGACAAGGGAUGAUAAUCAAUGAUAAAUGCAAGCAGAUAAUACUGAUUGGGCCUGUGCUUGUUGUACCAUACUGUGUCAUGCUCAACCCUGUCCUGUCAACCCCCUCACUCUCCACCCCACACACAGCCUCCACACCCCACACACACACAGCCUCCACACCCCACACACACACUCCACACAGCCUCUACACCCCACACACACCCCACACGCACUCUCCACACAGCCUCCACACCCCACACGCACCCUCCACACCCUCUACCCUGCCAAGCCUGUCAUUGUAUGUACGCCAUACAUACGUUUUGCACAUUGUGUACAUAUUUCUAUAGAUGACAUGUCAUGCAUAUUUUUAUAAGUGUAGCACAUCCAUGAUUUGUUUUGUAAAUAAUAUGGAAAAAUAUGUAUAUAUGUACUGUAUGUCUUUCUGUGUCAAUAAAAUGCGCCG
ensembl:lncRNA